rnacentral:rRNA from 1 species
UACGUAGGGUGCGAGCGUUGCCCGGAUUUAUUGGGCGUAAAGGGCGCGUAGGCGGCUCUGCACGUCCGUUGUGAAAUCGCCCGGCUCAACUGGGCGGGGUCAGCGGAUACGGCAGAGCUCGAGCAAGCUAGGGGGCAAUGGAAUUCCCGGUGUAGUGGUGGAAUGCGUAGAUAUCGGGAGGAACACCAGUGGCGAAGGCGACUUCCUGGCCUGUUCUUGACGCUGAGGCGCGAAAGCUAGGGGAGCAAACAGG